CCUGCCCUGAUAUAUAGAAAGAUUCAUUACCCCAAACUCUUGCUCCGGUACUUGGUGGUCCACGGAGCAGUUCUGCUGAACCGUGUUGGGGAAACUACGUACAUUGCAUUGACCGAGAGUUUAAGGUCUCAUGGGUCUGACUUUCUACAUGAAUGAAUGAGAGAAGAAGUUGCAUUGCAUCGACCGUGAGUUUAAAGUCGA
rnacentral:lncRNA from 1 species